AUUUUCACAACUGAGCUGUCUGUCUUCACAGACCCUGUGGUCAUCAUAAGCCGGGAACCUCUGCACCAUGUACUGUUCCCUAAUGCAGACUUGGCAAUAACCAUUCCUGCUAGAAGUGCCUCACUUCGGAUGUGACUGAAGAUGUGACAUGUCACUAAAGGUGUACAGACUUCAUUUGGAAUCUGGAAUCCUGACUUCCUUUGGCAAGAGGAAAAGACAAAACUUAAAUAUUUUCAUUCAAGCUCAACCUGAUGAUGAAUAUGUUAGUCAUUGAACAAGGGAGCAAAGAUGCUCGAUUCUUGUUUCAGACUUGCACGAUGAAAGAACACCCCUCCUCCCAUCAACUGCUUAUAGACCCAUCAUCCUGUAGGCUAUGGUGUUUCCUCAAAAAAGACAUCUUCACUGGUCAUCCACCUUAUCAGCUGAUACUCUGGUAAUCAAUGUGGAGCUACAUAAUAGCACAUAUGGUCUCCAAGGGUAGCUUUUACU